GGGCUUAUAGUUCAGUGGUAGAACGGGGCAUUCGCAUUGCUCAGACGGCGGUCCGAUUCCGCCUAAGUCCACCA
rnacentral:tRNA from 1 species